AGACUGUAGCAUCACACUGAUACAUGGGGACAACACUAGGGUCACCUCUUGUUCGGCACGCUCCACGCGACGCUUGGCCUCGCGCUCCUCCUCUGCUGCUUGGGCCUCGUCCCUCCGCACGCGCGCGACGUUGUCCUUGUUGCGAACGUGCCAGCUCUUCUUCGGAAGGAUGUUCAUUGUUGCCUUGACGACUGUCGAUCCUUCACGUUGGCAGUCAGCUAACUGAGCGAGGGGCUAACGUGGACUGAGGUAAAGGUGACCUGACUCCACAGGGUGAUGAGGAGGACACCCAGACUCACCAGCCGAAGGGCCACAGCCCUACACACGAUGGAGAAAUGAGGAAUCUUAAUCAAGUUUCUUAAGCUGAUGUGCACAAACACAAAUUAUAGAGGAUUUUGUUUUCAGUAUAUUACGGACUUGAGUGUAAAUCAGUGUUGAAUGCUACUUCUAAUUCUACUUUUUACUGCUCUAUACUUGAAACCCCACUCCUUUAGUUAAAUAGAUGAUCAAAUUAACAUUGUACUUUUAUAACAGAUUAGUUUUGGGCUUUAAAAAAAAAACAGCUUAUAAAAACAGACAAAAUGUGUAUCCCUUUGUCCCAAGGCUAACAUGUUUAUGAGUUGUCACCAGAAACCAGUCCAAACCUGAAUAGUGCCAGUAUGACAGUGGUGCUGGGAGAAUAUUUCUCCGCUAAGGCGAUCCGGUCAUCCACCAGUGGUACCAGGAAGUUUCCGGCAGUGAUGACAAUGGAGGGGAGAUACUCAAUAAUCAAACCCAGGAUCCCGUCCCUCCCACUUUCAGCCUGAUUUUCAAGAGAUGGAAGUCAAAGUAUCACCCAAAACAUUAAAACAUCACAAGGUU